rnacentral:rRNA from 1 species
CCUACGGGCGGCAGCAGUGGGGAAUAUUGCACAAUGGGGGAAACCCUGAUGCAGCGACGCCGCGUGAGUGAAGAAGUAUUUCGGUACGUAAAGCUCUAUCAGCAGGGAAGAAAAUGACGGUACCUGACUAAGAAGCCCCGGCUAACUACGUGCCAGCAGCCGCGGUAAUACGUAGGGGGCAAGCGUUAUCCGGAUUUACUGGGUGUAAAGGGAGCGUAGACGGCAGCGCAAGUCUGGAGUGAAAUCCCAUGGCUUAACCAUGGAACUGCUUUGGAAACUGUGCAGCUAGAGUGCAGGAGAGGUAAGCGGAAUUCCUGGGGUAGCGGUGAAAUGCGUAGAUAUUAGGAGGAACACCAGUGGCGAAGGCGGCUUACUGGACUGUAACUGACGUUGAGGCUCGAAAGCGUGGGGAGCAAACAGGAUUAGAUACCCGGGUAGUC